rnacentral:rRNA from 1 species
AGAGUUUGAUCCUGGCUCAGGACGAACGCUGGCGGCGUGCCUAAUACAUGCAAGUCGAGCGAGCUUGCCUAGAUGAUUUUAGUGCUUGCACUAAAUGAAACUAGAUACAAGCGAGCGGCGGACGGGUGAGUAACACGUGGGUAACCUGCCCAAGAGACUGGGAUAACACCUGGAAACAGAUGCUAAUACCGGAUAACAACACUAGACACAUGUCUAGAGUUUAAAAGAUGGUUCUGCUAUCACUCUUGGAUGGACCUGCGGUGCAUUAGCUAGUUGGUAAGGUAACGGCUUACCAAGGCAAUGAUGCAUAGCCGAGUUGAGAGACUGAUCGGCCACAUUGGGACUGAGACACGGCCCAAACUCCUACGGGAGGCAGCAGUAGGGAAUCUUCCACAAUGGACACAAGUCUGAUGGAGCAACGCCGCGUGAGUGAAGAAGGGUUUCGGCUCGUAAAGCUCUGUUGGUAGUGAAGAAAGAUAGAGGUAGUAACUGGCCUUUAUUUGACGGUAGUUACCUAGAAAGUCACGGCUAACUACGUGCCAGCAGCCGCGGU